rnacentral:rRNA from 1 species
UACGUAGGGUGCAAGCGUUGUUCGGAAUUACUGGGCGUAAAGCGCGCGUAGGCGGCUUUGUAAGUUAGAGGUGAAAGCCCGGGGCUCAACUCCGGAACUGCCUUUAAGACUGCAUCGCUUGAAUCCGGGAGAGGUGAGUGGAAUUCCGAGUGUAGAGGUGAAAUUCGUAGAUAUUCGGAAGAACACCAGUGGCGAAGGCGGCUCACUGGACCGGUAUUGACGCUGAGGUGCGAAAGCGUGGGGAGCAAACAGG